rnacentral:rRNA from 1 species
GCGGAUCUACACAUGCAGUUGCACGGGGUGUACAUACUCUAGUGGCGGACGGGUGAGUAACGCGUAGGAAUCUGCCCUGCAGAGGGGGACAACCUGGGGAAACCCAGGCUAAUACCGCAUACGCUCGCAGGAGGAAAGCGGGGGAUCUUCGGACCUCGCACUGUGGGAUGAGCCUACGUCCGAUUAGCUAGUUGGUGGGGUAAAGGCCUACCAAGGCGAUGAUCGGUAGCUUGGUCUGAGAGGGACGACCAGCCACACUUGGGACUGAGACACGGCCAGACUCCUUACGGGAGGCAGCCAGUGGGGGAAUAUUGGACAAUGGGCCGCAAAGCCUUGAAUCCAGCAAAUGCCGCGUUGGGUGAAGACGGUCUGCGGCAUUGUAAAGCCCUUUAGCGGGGAGGAACGUCGUCGUGCGAACAGUGCGGCGAUCUGACGUUACCCGCCAGAAUAAGCAACCUGGCUUAACUCCGUGCCAGGCAGCCCGCGGUAAUACGGAGGGGUUGCGAGCGUUAAUCGGAAUUUACUGGGGCGUAAAGCGUGCGUAAGGCGGAUUGGGUCAGUCAGCCGUGAAAGCCCCGGGCUUCAACCUUGGGAACGGCGGUUGAGACGGCCCGUCUCGAGUGGGCUAGAGGAUCGUGGAAUUCCGGGUGUAGCGGUGAAAUGCGUAGAGAUCCGGAGGAACACCGAUGGCGAAGCAGCGAUCUGGGGCCACACUGACGCUGAGGCACGAAAGCGUGGGGAGCAAACAGGAUUAGAUACCCCUGGUAGUCCACGCGGUAAACGAUGAGCACUAGACGCUGAGGGGGUGACCUUUCGGUGUCGUAGCUAACGCGCUAAGUGCUCCGCCUGGGGAGUACGGCCGCAAGGUUGAAACUCAAAGGAAUUGACGGGGGCCCGCACAAGCGGUGGAGCAUGUGGUUUAAUUCGAUGCAACGCGCAGAACCUUACCUGGCCUU